AACGAACGCUGGCGGCAGGCCUAACACAUGCAAGUCGAGCGCCCCGCAAGGGGAGCGGCGGACGGGUGAGUACCGCGUGGGAACGUACCCUUUGCUACGGAAUAGCCUCGGGAAACUGGGAGUAAUACCGUAUGUGUCCUUCGGGAGAAAGAUUUAUCGGCAAGGGAUCGGCCCGCGUUGGAUUAGGUAGUUGGUGGGGUAAUGGCCUACCAAGCCGACGAUCCAUAGCUGGUUUGAGAGGAUGAUCAGCCACACUGGGACUGAGGCACGGCCCAGACUCCUACGGGAGGCAGCAGUGGGGAAUCUUAGACAAUGGGCGCAAGCCUGAUCUAGCCAUGCCGCGUGAGCGAUGAAGGCCUUAGGGUUGUAAAGCUCUUUCAGGGGGGAAGAUAAUGACUGUACCCCCAGAAGAAGCCCCGGCUAACUCCGUG
rnacentral:rRNA from 1 species